rnacentral:rRNA from 1 species
AUGAACGCUAGCUACAGGCUUAACACAUGCAAGUCGAGGGGCAGCAUUUCAGUUUGCUUGCAAACUGGAGAUGGCGACCGGCGCACGGGUGAGUAACACGUAUCCAACCUGCCGAUAACUCGGGGAUAGCCUUUCGAAAGAAAGAUUAAUACCCGAUGGUAUAAUUAGACCGCAUGGUCUUGUUAUUAAAGAAUUUCGGUUAUCGAUGGGGAUGCGUUCCAUUAGGCAGUUGGUGAGGUAACGGCUCACCAAACCUUCGAUGGAUAGGGGUUCUGAGAGGAAGGUCCCCCACAUUGGAACUGAGACACGGUCCAAACUCCUACGGGAGGCAGCAGUGAGGAAUAUUGGUCAAUGGGCGCAGGCCUGAACCAGCCAAGUAGCGUGAAGGAUGACUGCCCUAUGGGUUGUAAACUUCUUUUAUAUGGGAAUAAAGUUUUCCACGUGUGGAAUUUUGUAUGUACCAUAUGAAUAAGGAUCGGCUAACUCCGUGCCAGCAGCCGCGGUAAUACGGAGGAUCCGAGCGUUAUCCGGAUUUAUUGGGUUUAAAGGGAGCGUAGGUGGACAGUUAAGUCAGUUGUGAAAGUUUGCGGCUCAACCGUAAAAUUGCAGUUGAUACUGGCUGUCUUGAGUACAGUAGAGGUGGGCGGAAUUCGUGGUGUAGCGGUGAAAUGCUUAGAUAUCACGAAGAACUCCGAUUGCGAAGGCAGCUCACUGGACUGCAACUGACACUGAUGCUCGAAAGUGUGGGUAUCAAACAGGAUUAGAUACCCUGGUAGUCCACACAGUAAACGAUGAAUACUCGCUGUUUGCGAUAUACAGUAAGCGGCCAAGCGAAAGCAUUAAGUAUUCCACCUGGGGAGUACGCCGGCAACGGUGAAACUCAAAGGAAUUGACGGGGGCCCGCACAAGCGGUGGAGCAUGUGGUUUAAUUCGAAGCAACGCGAAGAACCUUACCAAGUCUUGACAUCCCUCUGACCGACUCUUAACCGAGUCUUUCCUUCGGGACAGGGGAGACAGGUGGUGCAUGGUUGUCGUCAGCUCGUGCCGUGAGGUGUCGGCUUAAGUGCCAUAACGAGCGCAACCCUUAUCUUCAGUUACUAACAGGUCAUGCUGAGGACUCUGGAGAGACUGCCGUCGUAAGAUGUGAGGAAGGUGGGGAUGACGUCAAAUCAGCACGGCCCUUACGUCCGGGGCUACACACGUGUUACAAUGGGGGGUACAGAAGGCAGCUACCUGGUGACAGGAUGCUAAUCCCAAAAGCCUCUCUCAGUUCGGAUCGAAGUCUGCAACCCGACUUCGUGAAGCUGGAUUCGCUAGUAAUCGCGCAUCAGCCAUGGCGCGGUGAAUACGUUCCCGGGCCUUGUACACACCGCCCGUCAAGCCAUGAAAGCCGGGGGUACCUGAAGUACGUAACCGCAAGGAGCGUCCUAGGGUAAAACUGGUAAUUGGGGCU